AGUGAACGCUGGCGGUAGGUCUAACACAUGCAAGUCGAACGGCAGCACAGUAAGAGCUUGCUCUUACGGGUGGCGAGUGGCGGACGGGUGAGGAAUACAUCGGAAUCUACUUUUUCGUGGGGGAUAACGUAGGGAAACUUACGCUAAUACCGCAUACGACCUACGGGUGAAAGCAGGGGAUCUUCGGACCUUGCGCGAUUGAAUGAGCCGAUGUCGGAUUAGCUAGUUGGCGGGGUAAAGGCCCACCAAGGCGACGAUCCGUAGCUGGUCUGAGAGGAUGAUCAGCCACACUGGAACUGAGACACGGUCCAGACUCCUACGGGAGGCAGCAGUGGGGAAUAUUGGACAAUGGGCGCAAGCCUGAUCCAGCCGUACCGCGUGGGUGAAGAAGGCCUUCGGGUUGUAAAGCCCUUUUGUUGGGAAAGAAAAGCAGCAGGUUAAUACCCCGCUGUUCUGACGGUACCCAAAGAAUAAGCACCGGCUAACUUCGUG
rnacentral:rRNA from 1 species